AUUGAACGCUGGCGGCAUGCCUUACACAUGCAAGUCGAACGGCAGCACGGGAGCAAUCCUGGUGGCGAGUGGCGAACGGGUGAGUAAUAUAUCGGAACGUGCCCAGUCGUGGGGGAUAACGCAGCGAAAGCUGCGCUAAUACCGCAUACGAUCUACGGAUGAAAGCGGGGGAUCGCUAGACCUCGCGCGAUUGGAGCGGCCGAUAUCAGAUUAGCUAGUUGGUGGGGUAAAGGCCCACCAAGGGGACGAUCUGUAGCUGGUCUGAGAGGACGACCAGCCACACUGGAACUGAGACACGGUCCAGACUCCUACGGGAGGCAGCAGUGGGGAAUUUUGGACAAUGGGCGCAAGCCUGAUCCAGCAAUGCCGCGUGCAGGAUGAAGGCCUUCGGGUUGUAAACUGCUUUUGUACGGAACGAAACGGCCCUUUCUAAUACAGGGGGCUAAUGACGGUACCGUAAGAAUAAGCACCGGCUAACUACGUGCCAGCCGCCGCCGUAACAC
rnacentral:rRNA from 1 species